UACGGAAGGCAGCAGUGGGGAAUAUUGCACAAUGGGCGCAAGCCUGAUGCAGCCAUGCCGCGUGUAUGAAGAAGGCCUUCGGGUUGUAAAGUACUUUCAGUCGUGAGGAAGGUGUUAAGGUUAAUAACCUUAGCAAUUGACGUUAGCGACAGAAGAAGCACCGGCUAACUCCGUGCCAGCAGCCGCGGUAAUACGGAGGGUGCGAGCGUUAAUCGGAAUUACUGGGCGUAAAGGGCACGCAGACGGUUAAUUAAGUUGGAUGUGAAAUCCCCGGGCUUAACCUGGGAAUGGCAUUCAAGACUGGUUAGCUAGAGUCUUGUAGAGGGGGUAGAAUUCCAUGUGUAGCGGUGAAAUGCGUAGAGAUGUGGAGGAAUACCGGUGGCGAAGGCGGCCCCUGGGACAAAGACUGACGCUCAUGUGCGAAAGCGUGGGGAGCAAACAGGAUUUAGAUACC
rnacentral:rRNA from 1 species